rnacentral:rRNA from 1 species
GACGAACGCUGGCGGCGUGCUUAACACAUGCAAGUCGAACGGUGAAAGCGGAGCUUGCUCCGCUGGAUCAGUGGCGAACGGGUGAGUAACACGUGGGCAACCUGCCCCUCACUUCGGGAUAACUCCGGGAAACCGGGGCUAAUACCGGAUAUGACCUCCUUGGGCAUCCUUGGAGGUGGAAAGUUUUUCGGUGAGGGAUGGGCCCGCGGCCUAUCAGCUUGUUGGUGAGGUAGUGGCUCACCAAGGCGACGACGGGUAGCCGGCCUGAGAGGGCGACGGGCCACACUGGGACCGAGACACGGCCCAGGCUACGACGGGAGGCAGAAGUGGGGAAUAUUGCGCAAUGGGCGAAAGCCUGACGCAGCAACGCCGCGUGCGGGAUGACGGCCUUCGGGUUGUAAACCGCUUUCAGCAGGGAAGAAGCCGCAAGGUGACGGUACCUGCAGAAGAAGCACCGGCUAACUACGUGCCAGCCGCCGCAGUAA